rnacentral:rRNA from 1 species
UACAGAGGGUGCGAGCGUUGUCCGGAAUCACUGGGCGUAAAGGGCGCGUAGGUGGCGCGACAAGUCAGUGGUGAAAGCUCGGCGCUUAACGCCGAGUCGGCCACUGAUACUGUUGGGCUUGAGCACUGUAGAGGCUAAUGGAAUUCCGGGUGUAGCGGUGGAAUGCGUAGAGAUCCGGAAGAACACCGGUGGCGAAGGCGGUUAGCUGGGCAGUUGCUGACACUGAGGCGCGACAGCGUGGGGAGCAAACAGG